CAGAGGUGAAGGUUGCUGAUACUGCCCAUAG
rnacentral:piRNA from 1 species